CUACGGGAGGCUCCAGUGGGGGAUAUUGCACAAUGGGCGAAAGCCUGAUGCAGCAACGCCGCGUGAAGGAAGACGGUUUUCGGAUUGUAAACUUCUAUCAGCAGGGAAGAAAAUGACUGUACCUGACUAAGAAGCCCCGGCUAACUACGUGCCAGCAGCCGCGGUAAUACGUAGGGGGCAAGCGUUAUCCGGAAUUACUGGGUGUAAAGGGUACGUAGGCGGUUCGUUAAAUCAGAUGUGAAAGCCCGAAGCUCAACUUCGGGACUGCAUUUGAAACUGAUGAACUAGAGUACAGGAGAGGUAAGUGGAAUUCCUAGUGUAGCGGUGAAAUGCGUAGAUAUUAGGAAGAACACCAGUGGCGAAGGCGACUUACUGGACUGUAACUGACGCUGAGGUACGAAAGCGUGGGGAGCGAACAGGAUUAGAUACCCUUGUAGUC
rnacentral:rRNA from 1 species